UUUUGAACCUAGGGCUGCCCAUAUAAACAGGGCAGUUUUGCUGCUGGAGAGAGGCAACAACAUUGCCUGGCUACAGGUAUCAACUGGAGAGUUCAGGAAUAACUUCCUUAUCUUCAAGGAAGCUGUGUUUGCAUUAUACUGGGGUGAGAAUAGAGAAUGGGCCGAGGAUUUACAUGAGUAUAAAGAGACUUGUUUGGGAUAAGGAUCAGACUGUCUUUUAUCAGUUAAAAAUGCUGUUGGAGGUCUUUCUGCCUUAUCUGAUGGUCAGUGCUACCCAGUGUGAUGUGGAUUACCCAGUUCUCAGGAAAGCUUCUUUGGUCCCAUGUCUCAAGCAUGGACGUUUCAGAAAGAAUAGCACCUCACUGCAGAUCUCUGACAUGGCAAGUCCCUCCACAGAGUUGCACAAGUAUUAUAACAUGGGUAUUUUCUAGUUGCCUGUGAUGUGUUUCUGACAAGAGCUUACUGAUCUUCUUGCAAGAAGCUAAAAAAGCUUGCUUUCUCAUGCAUCUGAUUUUGUGGUGUAGGUAUAUUUGUAUGUGCUGAUUGUCAUGAGAUAAAUAAAAUAAUCUGUGAAUUGGUGCUAAAGAAAUACUAAAACUAAAUUCUUCUCUGGCUGUAAAUAUGCAAUUUCUGUUGAGCCAAUGGGACCUGUGUACCUGUGUCUGAGAAAUGAAUUUGGUCUCCAGUCUGCAGUGUGGUGUCUCCUGAGAUCUGUGGCCACUGAUCCAAAUUAGACCUGAUGCUAGGAGCUUUAUGACUGUCACAGGGCCCCUUGGAAUGAAUAAUAGAAUUAAUAUGGCCAAACCCUGACAUUUUUAUUCAUGUUUCACUCAGCACUUUUUGAGGCAAAGCUGACUGCAUAGGAUCUGAUUGAGAACAUUGUGGUACCCCAUGGAGAACAUAUAUAUGAGUAAAAUGAACUUGCACACUCACAGAAGAUCAUCUUAUCUCCUGUAUGCUGCUUGAGCCCUACUUACAGGGCUCUAAAGGUGCCUAAAUGGUGCCAAGCCCCUGGCUUGGUCAUCACCAAAAAGGAGAAUUUCAUUCAGCAUGAGACGUAGAGACUGGGUCAGAUCUUCAGGAACCAUAAAUGAGAAUAACCCCACUUCCUCCAGUUGAGUUGCAUCAGUUUAGGACCACAAUUUAAGGGAGUUCCUUUAGAUUUAUAUUACUUGCUGAGAUCAGCAUGAGUGGUGUUACAGGUUACCUUUAAACUAUUCUAAAGGCAUUUAAAAUGGGAGCACCUGCACAUUAAAGGGUGUUAAACUGGGCUAAGUACCCUCUAAGCGUGCCUAUACAUGUGCUCCAAUGCACACUUGAGCAGACUUGAUUAAUUUAAUUAGAAUGCUCUAGCAUUGCUGCAGCAUCACAUGUAUAAACCCACAGAGGUUUAAAAAUGGUUGCUGGAGCAAUUUAACUAAAGCUCAUUGAAUGAGCUUUAGCUAAAUCAUCCCAUGGCCAUAUUUAAAUGCAUAGGGGUUUAAUAUAUGUGACACUGGCAUUUUAAUUAAAGCAGCUCUUUGGGAAUCACUCUAAUUAAACUGCCCCCUGCCCCCAUGCACACACUCCCGAGCACAUAUAUAGGUACCCUAAGAGCCUUAAAGUUAUGCCCCUUCAGGCAAGGUUUAUCUUUGAGCUGUUCUACCUGGCUUGAGCUUGAUUACUGUUGGUUUGUUCCACUGAGAUAAAGUGACUAUUUACAGUCAUCCAGAAUCCAGGGAUACAUGGCUUCCAGCCCUUCUACCCCUGACAGACUUUUUACCCUGUCAAGCUCUGCUUUCAAGAGGGUGGCAGUGGUCUCAAGCCAACACCCUCACCCACCCCUGGUGGGUAUGACCCUAGCACAUGUGGCACCAUGUUACCAGCUCCAAGGACCCCAGGAGAUCCAAUCUGGACCUCAGGGGUGGGGGGGUGGUAAGGGGGCCUUCUCUCAAAGGGCUGAACCUUUGCCCCACAUCUGGGCAGCUUUCUCCUAGCCAGGAGAAUUUUGGGGAAGGUGGAAAAAGGCUGCCUAGUGCCAAGGACAGCAAAAUUAUGGAACUCAGGAAGCCAUUCUUUUCUGAGGUCCAUGCUCUUGCCAUGCUUAACCCCCAGGGCUUCACUCCCAGAGGAGGAAUUAUGUCCUGGCUAUGCCCCUGCUCACCAGACCGUCUAGUGUCAAGUCACAGUUCUGCAGGUCAAAGAUGGCAUUAAGCCAAAACCUGUGACUACUCUGCAACUAUUCUAACUUGAACACUGCCUAACAUUUCACAGGUUUAGAAUGGUUCAAAGGUAACCUGUAACAGACUGUUAUGUGACCUAGUGUACCUUCACCUAACUCCAACAGUUGUUUUUUUUCUUCUGUUGUUGUUGUUGCUUUUUGGUUGCUGUGUGAAGUGCCUUUCAGCAGAAACCCUUACUCAGCCUGGCUUUUAUUGUGAGUGAAGCCUCACAAUAUUGACAGCUAUUGUUAGCAGUUUCAGUCCAGCCUUAGUUGCAUUUUUUUUGUUAUUGUUUUAAGAACUGAGCCAACCAAAGAUGACCUGUCUUCAACCAUCAUCUACAGACAAACUUCAGCUAAACAUUAGUCCCAGAUAUUGAACUGAGUGGCUGUCUUGGACAUUCCACCUCUGCAGUGUUACUUGUAGAUUGACAGAGAAUAACAACUUGUAUAAAAAAUCCUCCAUGGAGAACAGCCAAUGUUCAAUGUAAAUGUAUCUAAAUAUGUUGGUAUAUGGACCUUGCCUAAGUGACGCCAGAACUCCUCAGCUCCCCAAAAUAAAUAGAACUGUUUUAAAAGCAUUUGAAAAUAUUUUCAGGCAUAUUAGUUGCCUUUGUUUUGUUAUUUCUUCUCUAAGUCUCACUUUUCAUUAAGUACAAUUGAUGGCACCUUUUUAAUUUAGCUUUUUUCCCCUCCCUGGGCUGACAUGGCAUAAUGAGAUGGAAUGUGAAGAAUAAGAGAACACGUAAUGCCAGCAUGGUUGGGAGUGGAUACAUUUUUGAAGUUGCCUAACCUUUCCCGUUUCGUAGAGAAGACUGGAAGGGACCUCAAGAGAUCAUCUGGGGAUUGAAUCUGUGACCUUUGUAUUGUUAGCACCAUGCUACUGUAACAUCCUUUAUUAGUUGUUUAUGACUUUGCCAAACUUAAACUAUUUGAUCUGAAAUGUGUCCAUAUUCCAUAUCAAACUGACUUUUUUCUUUUUUCUUUUCACUCACAAUGGUUCAGUCAUAUAUGACAAUGAGAGUAGAGAAAAUGAACUGGCCCAAUUAAAAGAAGAAAAAAAGAAAGCUAAUUAACUUUUCAAAGAAAAGUUCUAAUGUUCCUGUGCUUAAGAGCAUGGGCUUGUAAUCAUGUAGGGGAAAGCACUUUUUGGCUGAGGAGAAGGCUUUGAAAAAUUGAUGGUCACUCAUGCUCAAUAGCAAUGUAGACUUUGGCAGCUAGUAUCUGUGAAGUUUCCUCUAUGGUGGGCAUGCUCCAUCCCUUCACAGUUCUGACUGGUGCCCACCUGGUCUAUAGUCAUCCUCAUGUAGUGACUGGCCCCUAGCACUCUUGGUAUUCUCAGUUGUGUAUUGACUAGGCAAUGAGCACACAAUUAUUGACCCCCUGCAACAGGGGUGGUGCUUAUGACUUGCUUCUGGUCACCCAGCAAUUUUAGAACUGAAUUCUCCAAGGCACCAUUCAAAUGUUUUAAUCUCUCUUUAAAAAGCAAAUUAUUGUAAUCUUAUUCUUGUCAUCCCAAAAUGACAUAUUUCCCAUGACCUUAGGUCAGAAAUGACUGUCACAUUUUGUCUGAAGUUUUCCAGAAAAAAAUAAACCUAAGGCAGGGAAACACUUUUGGAAAAUAUCAGCCCCAAUGGUACAUGUUUUGGCAAAGUUACAAGCAACUGAAAAUCAGAUCUUACGCAAUUGAAAUGUCACAUUAGCACCCCCACCUUGUUAUACUUGUUCAUAAAUAUGGAGCCUUGUAUGCAUUCAGCCUGAA